AUGCAGUUUCUCUUCGUAUUGUUCCAAACAAAUCCCAGUUUUUUGAAUAUGAGUCAGCCAGCUUUUAUUGUGGGGAGAUCUCUCAUGGACAUGUGUUAUAUAAGAUGAGAGAGGAAGUAAAGCAAUGCAACAAAACCAGUAAGAAAACAACAGGUUCAAAGUGCACCAUUCAUUAUCUUUAUCAAAGUGACAGUGGAGAAUACUGGUGUGGGACAGCAGGAGGGAAGAGAAGCAACAAUAUCAACAUCACUGUCACUGGUAUGAUUGAAUGAAGGCAGCAAUAUUUUGUCACAAAUAAACACAAGUUCAAUAUUUUAUAAAUUUAACUCACUUGUUGUUCAGCUGGUUUUGUUAUCCUGGAGAUUGAUGCUGUUCCUGUGAUGGAGGGAGAUGCUGUGACUCUACGCUGCAGAAACAAGAUCCCUUCCUCCAGCAUUGCAGCUGAUUUCUAUAAAUAUGGGCGUCACAUAGGGAGCAGCUCAAGAGGAAACUUGACCAUCACCAGAGUUUCCAAGUCUGAUGAAGGACUUUACAAAUGUAAGAUGUCAGGAGGUGGAGAAUCCCCAGAAAGCUGGCUGUCUGUCUCUGCGCCAUGUCUCACAGCUUCCACACCCUGGAUAAUUGCUACUAUUUUACUGACCACUCUGAUUAUUGUGGUGAUGGGACUCUAUCUCUUCCGCAAAGAUUGGUACAGAGGCCCAACUGAAGAUCAAACAGGACAGAGCACAAAC